AAGGUGAGGCUACCUAUCUAUAGUCUUCUUCGGUUGCUGUUUAGUAACACCUUCACUCUGACUUGACAGUUCUGAUUUACAAUGGACGUGUUUUUGUAUCUCCUCGAAUACUUCAUACAAGUUUAAACACUAUCAGCACUUUGUUAAUUCUCUUACUUCAACAAACUCUACCCUCUUCCUGUCCAUAUGUAACUUUACCUGUAUGACCAAUGGGAAUGAGUCGCACAUCUGCAUGGCUUUUCAUUUCAUCAUAGAGUACAUUUAAUUGUAUUUUUGCCAUGGCAUUUUUAAGGCAGUAUCAUCUUCUUCAUUUUUAAAUUGAAAAUGGUAUUGCUUUUUUACACGGGGUUCAACACGGGACAGAAUAUGGUUAAUCUGAGAUGAACUCAAUGUUUUCUCCAAAUAUACUGUUUCUGGUUUUGUUAAGGUUUCAUCAUAUGAUUCUUCUUGUUCAUCUUCCUCUUCUUCUGGUAUCUCUGGUACUACAUUGGGUGUAUUAUUUUUCAUUGAUAUAUUAUUUUUAUAUACGACUUCGUUAUUGGGUACUUCGUUUGAAGGUACUCCGUUAUUAGGUACUUCGUUUAAAGGUGUAUCUACAUCAUCUUCAUAUACAACCUCUUCUUCCAUCAUAUCUUUAUUUGACAUCCUAUUCUAUGUGUACAUUUUGUAUAUAGAAUAGUAUACACUCUUAGUAAUGUUUCGUAGAUCAGUUCCACCUGUUCAAAGUCCAUCCAAUGGAAAAUGGGGUCCUGCCUUAUGGAAAAUCCUUCACAGUGCAUGUGAACAAAUUUGAUCACAACAACUUAAAAACUUCCACAGGAAGAAUCACGAAUUUGGAUCGGACUACUUCAAAGUCUACGAUAUUCUCUUCCCUGUCCACAAUGUAAAAAACAUUAUACCGCUUAUUGGAAUGCUCAUCUGAUCCGAUCAGUAACAAAAGAAAACAUUCGUACAUGGUUGUUUCAACUUCACAAUGAAGUCAAUCAACGACUAGGAAAAGAAUCAUUUCCUAUUGAAAAAUAUACAGAAUACGAACCAAUCUUUCACUUUAAAGAAUAUUUUACAUUAGUACAACAACAUAUGACAUUAGCCAUACGACAAGGUACAUGCUCCCAUAUCGAUAUUCAACGAACCAUCCGAUUCCUUAUUGAAAUGAAGUGUUUUUAUGAUUUUUUUUGAAUG